ensembl:lncRNA
GGAAGUUUGCCCACAACUGUUAAAUUACUUUAGCCUCCACUACAAGAUGACUGGUUACUGAAAAUAAUCCCAGGGAAUGGUGCACAGGAGUCAUUCAAGAGAUUCUAGGAACAAAUUAACAUAAUGAAAUGUUGAUGACAUAUGUGGGCCUGGAUGGAAGAGCUAAGUUAUCGAGUGACAUCUUGUUCUGCGUGUUUCUCUCAUAAACAUAAAUAUAAAGUGUCCCGUUGGACCCGCAUAAGUUUUUGCAUCUAUAGCAUCAUUUGGGAAGGCACUUCACAGGUCCAAUGAUCACAGCAUAAGGAACAAGGUGUUUUUCGUUUGGCCCAUCUCCUAGAGGAUAUGAGUCUCUUUUCAGUGUAUACCUGAGGAACAAGUAUCCCCUGAUGAGUUGCCUGGUUUUAUGUGAAUUCCUUUGCUCACAUGCCCUGCUGACAUACUGAGGAAGGUUUUUUGAAGUAUGUUUCUCAGAUAAACUCAGGGAUUAUACCCCAGGAAUGUACCACAGGGAAGAUAAAACUAUCAUGAGGAAAGGAACAUUUCAGGUGCUUGUGCAAUUUAUUUUUUAACUGCACUGAGAUUAUCUUUACAGCUGCAUCUGCAGGAAUUUAUCAGCCUCCUUACAAUCUUCCUCCCUAUGUACUUAGUUGCCUCCUGAAAAAACACAUCACUUAUCAAUAAGGUGUACUCUUCCUCAGCUGCAGGAUUAUGAGCCUCUCCUUGAAAGCUGAAAGGAAUUUCUCCUGUUUCACCAAAACUGUGAAAAUUGUCAAAACAAGCAGAUAGAGAAUAACAAUGAAGGAAAAAAGUUUCUU